AAUGAACGCUGGCGGCAGGCCUAACACAUGCAAGUCGAACGGAUCCUUCGGGAUUAGUGGCGGACGGGUGAGUAACGCGUGGGAACGUACCCUUUCUUCGGAAUAGCCUCGGGAAACUGGGAGUAAUACCGGAUAAGCCCUAUUGGGGAAAGAUUUAUCGGGAAGGGAUCGGCCCGCGUUGGAUUAGGUAGUUGGUGGGGUAAUGGCCUACCAAGCCGACGAUCCAUAGCUGGUUUGAGAGGAUGAUCAGCCACACUGGGACUGAGACACGGCCCAGACUCCUACGGGAGGCAGCAGUGGGGAAUAUUGGACAAUGGGCGAAAGCCUGAUCCAGCCAUGCCGCGUGUGUGAAGAAGGUCUUCGGAUUGUAGAGCACUUUAAGUUGGGAGGAAGGGCAGUAAGUUAAUACCUUGCUGUUUUGACGUUACCAACAGAAUAAGCACCGGCUAACUUCGUGCCAGC
rnacentral:rRNA from 1 species